rnacentral:sRNA from 2 species
AUAUCUCUCUGUACGGGAAGGAUGAGAAGCUUCUACCAGGGUUCGAUUCGAGCGCAGCGAGAAAGCGUUGCCGCAGGCAACGACCCGAAGGGCGAAGCGCGCAGCGCUGAGUCAUCCUUCC